rnacentral:rRNA from 1 species
CAGUCGCCGCGGGAACACGUAGGGGGCAAGCGUUAUCCGGAAUUACUGGGUGCAAAGGGAGCGUAGACGGUUAAACAAGUCUGAAGUGAAAUGCCGGGGCUCAACCCCGGAGCUGCUUUGGGAACUGUAGAACUGGAGUGUCGGAGGGGUAAGCGGAAUUCCCAGUGUAGCGGUGAAAUGCGUAGAUAUUGGGAGGAACACCGGCGGCGAAGGCGGCUUACUGGACGACAACUGACGUUGAGGCUCGAAGGCGUGGGUAGCAAACUGGAUUAGAUACCCCCGUAGUCCCUGUCUCUUAUAC